CAAGAGGCGCGCGGGGAGUUUGAGGCGUGCGGGCGGGAAGUGGCAGUUCUUGUGGUGCGGGGAUGCGGCCACAUGAUGGCGCUGUCGGAAACGGCCUGAGAGAUGAAGCGCUGCAGGUGCUGCCGCCUUUUUGUGGGUGGGCCAAGGACUGGCCUGAGUCCUGCUAAAUAACCCGUUUUGGCUGAACCUCUUGUCCGUUAAAAAGUGCUACUGAGGUAUGAUUUUUAUUUUUACUUUGGGCCCAGCCCGGUUUAAUAUCCUUAUGCAUGAUCUGGAUGAGGGGACUGAGUGUAUCUUCAGUAAGUUUACGGAUGACACCGGGACAGGAAGAGGUAUCCAUCUGCCUGAGGAUAGGAUGGCCCUACAGAAGGAUCUGGACAGGCUGGGUCACCGGGCUGAGGCCAAUCCUAUGAGCUUCAACAAGACUGAGUGCCAGGUCCUGCACUUUGGUCACAACAACUUUGUGCAAUGCUGCUGCCUUGGGGCAGAGUGGCUGGAAAGUUGCACAGAAGAAAAGAAUCUCAGGAUGUUAGUUGACAGCCAGCUGAGCAUGAGCCAGCAGCGUGUCCAGGUGGCCGAUAAGGCCAAUGGCAUCCUGCCUUGUAUCAGAAAUAGUGCAGUCAGCAGGGCAGGGAGAUUCUGUACUCAGCACUAGUGGGCCGCACCUCAAGUACUAUGUUAGUUUUGGGGCCCUCACUACAAGAAAGACAUUGAGGCCCUGAAGCAUGUCUAGAGAAGGACAAUGAAGCUGUGAAGGAUCUGGAGCACAAAUAUUAUGAGGAGCAGCUGAGGGAAUCGGGAUUGUUCAGUCUGGAGAUGAGGAGGCUCGGGGAAGACUUCAUCACUCUCUACAACUCCCUGAAAGGAGGUUGGGGUGAGGUGGGGAUCGGCCUCUUCUCCUGCAUCGCUAGCGAUAAAGGCAAGAGGGAAUGACCUUAAGUUGCGUCAGGGGAGGCUCAGGAGAUUAAGAAAAAUUUCUUCUCCAGAACAUGGUGAGGUAUCAUCACUCCCCAGUGGUUCUCAUUCUCAGAAGAUAGUCCACAGUCAAAGAAGCCAAAGACCCCGUCUGUGACAUCAGCAUAUGCCCAGACUUUGAUCUGCAGGACUCACCCUCCUCAGCUGCUAAAGCCAUCUCCUUGACUGGUAAGAUCAAAAAAACCACCACUGUGGCCCCUUUACCGCUGCUCCUAGAGGAUAGCAGUCAGCUCUAAUCUCUUCAAGGUCUCUUUUGGUGGCAGUGUUUGUGCCCAGAUGGGUAAACAGCAGUAGAUAUUAAUCCAAAGAUUAUAUCCAAGUAUAUCGAUCCAAAGACCUCAUCAGUCUCUCUCUAGUGUCCCAUAUCUGAGCCCAAGGCAAGCAGUCAGCCUUCUGAAACAGUGGGUAUGAUCUGCAAGGGUGUGCUAAGGACCCUGGAGUAGAGAGUUGUGGCCAUUGCUACCCACCACUUCACCCUUAUGACGCUGUUUUAGCCAGUUUGGGGUUUUUAUUGGAUCCCACUAGCAUUUCCCAUGAACUUCUUUAAUUUUACCUAUCCC
rnacentral:lncRNA from 1 species